UUUGCACGACAACGAGCUGUGAAGGGGAAACAGGUUGUUCUAAAGGUAGAAAAACGUGGAGAACCACAGGGUGCAACACAGUCCACUGUGUCAGCACAAACGGAGAUCCAUGCCUCAAAAUUAAUGACAUAUUCAGAAAGGGAUUUGAAGAAGAAACAUGGUAAACCCAGUAGCAAAUCAGUCUCAAAGGCAAGAUCCGGAGAUAAAGUUAGAAGUGGCAUGACCCACUUGUCAACAGAAGAAAGAAAAGCAAAGGGUGAAGAGAGUAGCUUAUCAAAUGAAAUUAGUAAAAAAUUGGCAUGCAUCAUGAAACUAGAAACAGAUAAGCGGAAGAGGACCAAAAUUGAGAAGGAUGACUCACCACCACCAUGGUUCAAGAAGUACAUGCAGAAGUUCAAGAAUGAAAUUGUAGCAGAAAUUACAACAAAUGUGAUGUACAAUACAAGACAGGUGUUAGAGAGUACCAAGGCUAGCACUCACCCCUCAUGUUGCUGUAUUGAGAGGAAAAGUGGGUUAGUGGCUGCUACCAAGAGCAAAAAGAAAAAGAGUUCUGAUGAAGAUUCUUCAGAUGGUGGCUUGAGCAAUGACCAAAGGGAUCAUAAACUGCUGAAGAAAAUAGAAAAACUUCAUAAACGAGAAAAGAAACUUGAAAAGAAACUGGACUCGAAACUUGAGAAGUUGGAGAACAAAACAAAGCGAAGAAUGGAGAAGAAAUCCCAGAGUAAAUCACGCCCUGAGCGGCCUUCUGAGAAGAUCUGCGGAGGCACAAGGAAGAAAAUGAGUGACGGGCCUGUGGGUACAUAUUUGAUGGAUGCUAUACUACUGAAUGAUGGACACAGACCUACAGAGACGCAUAUCAGGCUAGGAGAACGUUUUACAAAAGUGUGGGAGAUCAUGAAUAAUGGUACUCUCCCGUGGACUGAUAAGACUGAGCUUCGGUUGGCGUGGGGAUCUUCUGGUCUGCAACCCAAAGCAACAGUUCUGAAGUGUCCAAUUUUAAUGCCUGGAGAAAAGGGUAUAAUUGCUGUUACUUUCCAAGCACCAGAAUUCCCUGGGACAUUUGAAUCUUACUGGCACUUUUACCACAUGGGAGUGAGGUUUGGACAUUGGUUGGGUUGUGCUGUUAUUGUGGAUUCAAAAGAACGUGAGAAAGAAGUAACAAAUGUGAGACCAGCUGAUCGACAUGAAUCAGUUCAUGACAGUGAGAAUAAUAAUGAUAAAGAAAUGUCAAAGACCAAAGCAGAUCAGCCUGUCGAUUUGAGAAAGAAGUAUGAACCCAACCAAGUGGUGGGCUCCUCAGCCACCCAGUCCGUGGCUGGAACAGAUGAUGCAUAUGAGACGAUGAGUGAAGAUAAGGCAGCAUCCACAGAGAAGGGAAAAGAUGAAACCAAGGAGAGAAGUGCUGAAUAUGAAAGUGACUCAGAUGAUGAAAACCUAAGUAUCAUCUCGGGCACUAUUUCUAUCACUUCGGAUUCUGAAGAAGACGAGAACUUUGUGUUAGUACCAGUGCCACCCUGUUUCAUCUGUGAUGUGCCACUGGAAGAGUCGGGCAUAAUCACUGACCUGGGAAAAGAACAGCUGAAGUCAGAGAAUGAUAAACCUGACGUACAGACUGACUCGGAACCGAAUUCAUUUCAUAUGUUAAAUAGCAGUGCAGUGAAUGUUCCAUGCACUCUUAAUAUAGAUUUUGGAACAACAACAACAGAGGAUGGGCAGAAAUCUGACCGUGAAGUUGAAGAUGGGACAACACCAGACAUAAGUAAAGAAACUUGCUCACAUGAAGUACCUGUGUCACCUGUGUACCUGUCUGAAUAUAUUAUGUCUUCAAGGAAUGAGAUUUAUGCUGUGGAUAUGGCAGGACAUUGUCUACCAGUGGAUUUUGCAUGGGCAAGUCAUAACAAUAACCAUUGUAACCAUACAUUGUUCGAAAACUCCAAGACAAAUGAUCAUUCAUCAGAAAGCAGCUCAACGAAUGAGUCAUAUCAUUCCUCAAAUCAAGGAAAGAGAGAAGAAAAUAAAUGUGACCAACCUGGUGGAGAUAACUCUUCAUUCCAUGCUACAACUCAUCCUCAGGCAACCACUGGCCCAUUCAGUAUGAGUUUCUCAGUUUCAGAUGUGCGUGGAGGUGGACGACCAUAUGGUACCACAUAUGCUUACGCGACAGCUUCAACAAAUCAAACUCAAAAUAUAUUUAAACAAUGUCAAAGCCAAACACCAUUUACAAACACAACACAGGCAACGUCUCCAAAUCAAACCCAAUUUGGUAGUUCAUUUAACUACAACAUGUCUUCAUCAGCAAAUGAAACACACACUGGAUUUGAACAACGCAAAAACCAAGCACCAUUUUCAGACACAACUCGGGCAUCUUCUACAGAUCAACCUCAGGUUGGUACUACAUUUAAUCACGGGACGACUUCUUCAACAGAUACAGCUCAGAAUGAUUUCAAACAAUGUGAAAGCCCAACCUCAUCUUCAGACACUACACAGACGUCAUCUUCAAAUCGACAUGGAGACCCCAUUGGAGCAGCUGUCCAUAUUCUUCCAGAGACUCUUGUCAAUGGAGCCAUCAGUGUUGCAUCUCAAGCUUACACCACAGCCCGUGCUGUUUUAAGCAACUUACGUUCAAGGCCUUCCGAGGAAUUUUCAGAGUGGUACUGGAAUGAGACUGCAGGCAGUUGGUCAGCACAGCCUGACAGGUCAACAACAGAGUGCUUGAACAUUCUUUUAGAAAUGGGUUUCGUUAACAAAAACUUGAAUGUGUUGCUACUCCAACGUUAUGACAAUGACAUAGCCAAGGUUGUGGCUGAAUUGUUGGCUUACAAGGACAACUCUGGCUUCAGUGGCAAUAGACAAAUGCAAUAACUGUUCACAAAAAUGGUGUCUUGGGAAAUAUAAUGUAACUUCAAAUCAUUUACUUUCUUCAACGAUGUUAUCACAGAAGAAGACUAAUAUUAAAACAGUCAGUUGAAAAUGAUAGGAAAGGUGAGGGUUUCAUAUAAAUGCAAAAUUGCUGGACAACAGUUCUGCAGAACAAAUUAAAAGAAACAGUGACUGAAGAUGAAAAAUUAAAAUUGGUAUGUUUUAUUUUAAAUGUGACGUAACAUGUUGCCACCUGCAAGUGGCAACUGGUGUUAUAUCAGAACAUUGAGUACAUCAUGCAACAAGAAAUGAAACUGAGAUAUACAUUUAUAUUUUAAUAUUUAAAUUGCAAAUUUUUUUUUUUUUUUAGAUUAAUUUGAACAGAAGAGCAGAUGUUACAUGUAAUGGAAGUGUUUUUCCAGUAUCUGUGAACCUCUCUUUAGAAGUAGCAUAUAUGUUGGGGGAAUAAGAAUAUUGUAGGAUUUUAAUUUGUUUUAUGUAUGUUCACAUCAGUUGGAUGCUUCAUUUGAUGCCUACUUGGUUGUAAAAUGCUUCAUGCUGUGGAAUAUAUCCCAGCAAUUUUGAUGUUUAGAAGUUACUACAUUUAAUACAGAACUGUAUUACAACUAGUACUGUGUUAUCUGUAAUUAAGUGAAAUAUUCAUCUGAAAAAGAAUUCUGAUACUGUAACAGUAUGAUUUGUUCUUUCAGUGGUAUAAUAUUCUUGACAUCUGCAAGAUAGAGACUAUUAUAUAUGAAAGACAAACAUUUGGAUAAAACUCCAAUUAAAUAUAUUAGUUAUAUAUGUAAAAUGUUAAAUUUUUGCUUAUUUGUAACGUAUUAAACAUCAUUAAUGUGAAGCAGCAGGUAAAUGCUUUGGAAUGUUCAAGCUUUAAUUGUUUUGUAGUAAUGUAUCUUAUAAACAAACCUGGAAGUAGGUAUGGUGAAGGAAACAGUAUAUGUCCACAGACAUGUAAUAUACUCAUAUAAUAAUAAAUUGUUACAUUAUGUGAAAACUAGCAGAUUUUCUUGAAGAAUCAUAAAGUUGGAUCCUAUUGCGACUGCAGUGAAAUGUGUAAAUGGUGUUUCAUUAAUCACUUUGCUGAAGUAUUUAAAAGAAACCUGAGUGAAAAGAAUUGUGCAUAUAAUCAUUAAACUAUCACCUGUGCAUCACAUUACUAUGAUGGCAUUUGCAUAGGUCUGGCUGGCCAAACUUCACACUGUUGUUAUAUAAAUACCAUUAUUCGUAAGCUCAUAUCCGGCUGAUAAUGCCAUAGUAGUUGGAGAUUUAUAUCCUGUGUCCCUGGAUGACAGAAGUUAGUUGAAUACUGAAAUUUAAGUACUAGAGCAACACAGAUUCACCUUGCUGUAUAGACUUCAUCAGAAUGAUUGAUUAGUGUUUAUUAAUGUAAUCUGUUUGUGGAAGUUUAAUCAGUUAUUUUGAUGAUGUAUAAACCUGCAGUUAUGCAGUUGCUAUAAAAUAUUCUCAACUUCGAGUAAUCUCAUUUAGGCAAGGGGUUAAUUUUUUCUUGUACAGUAUAUUGUUUCAUUGCCGGUGAAUAAAUGAACAUAAAAUGUUCAGGAGCACUGUUACAUCUAAUGGCAAGAGUGAGCCACAUAUGCAGUCAAACACAGUAUACUAACAAAACUGUUAUAAAAGAUUUCUUGUCUUGUUUAGUGUCUAUAGUGCUACAGCAUGUGUGUUGAAACUGGCAGAAGUAGAUGUUGCUGAAAUCUUUUACAUCUUUGUAACAGUAGAUAGAUAGUACAUGGUAGGUUUGCACAAUAGAAUGCAACUUGACACAUGGUGGCAUAACACAUCUCAGAUUCAGCAAAGAUAUUAGUAGAUCUCCAAUAUAAAGCAUUGUUUAGACAGUCUGUCCUUCAAAUAAAUUAUUUUAGAACUUUUUUAAGUUAUUCCUUGAAUGUAUGUGUAAAUGUCCAGGGAAUGUAGGUAUUACCACUGCAGAUAUGUAUUGUAUAGCAUUUAGUUUGUAGUUGUGUUGUUUUGGGUUUAAUUACCGACACGCUGCUUAUGGUGUUGGUAUCCCAAGUGUUUUUGACUCUUUGAGGCAGUGAGGUUUGUAAUAAUACUAAUUUUAUUUGUAAUUUUAAGUUUGGCUUGAUGUUACCAGUUCUUGUUAUACACAAACAGAGAAAUUAAUUUGUGUUUCAGAAAUUUUAUUGAAAUUACUUUGGGCAGUUGAUAGUUAUGUCAUCAUAACUAGUAAUUCCCUCCUUCCAUGACCUUAACUGGAAUCUUGUUGGAAGAAAGAUAGUUCAAAGUAUGCUCAUUUUUAUAAUCUCCCUUACAUUCAUUACUAAAAGCAAAUGAGUUCUAUCUUAAUGUCUUCACAAAAUUUUUCUUCUAAUACUAUGCUUGUAGUAAAUUUUCUGUAAGAAAUGUUGUUUCAUGGAUGCUGUUGUUAGCAAUUAUGAUAUUGUCUACAUCAGUACUUAGAAAAGUCUUUUCUAUACAGAAUUCAUCCUGAUUCAGAUCUCUGUUUUCUAAGAACAAGCAAAUCUUGGAGCAAAGGUUCAUUUGAGUGUGUUGUUUGGAAUGCCAUGUACGGAAGGCUUGUGACGCCCUAUGGAAAUGAGUAAAUGUGUGAUGAAAUGAUAGUAUGCUUGAUUUAGUUGAUAGUAAACACAGCUUUUGCAUUAGUGUAAUGUUACUUGUCAAGUUGCAGAUAUGUAGAACUUGAAAUAAUAUUGUAACCUAUAUUGUAAUAUAAUAACAUGGUAAUAAAAUUUGUAAAUGGUUGUGGUACAAACCACAUGUUUAUCACAUGAACAUUGUAUAAACUAUAUCAGUAAAUGUCUGGAAUAUAUUACAGCAUAAUCCAUUUUUGGAAUGGGUAUAUAUUUAUUGGUAGAGAAGAGGAUUUCUGAAGUACGGUAGUGAAUGUUAUAGUUGUGCGUGUUCAUAUAAUGUAAUUAAUGUUCAGAAUAAAAUUACAUGGUAGAAUCA